AUUGAACGCUGGCGGCAGGCCUAACACAUGCAAGUCGAGCGAGCGGCGGACGGGUGAGUAAUGUAUGGGGACUGCCCGAUAGAGGGGGAUAACUACUGGAAACGGUAGCUAAUACCCCAUUCUAUCGGCUAACCCAUAUGGGCUUAGCUAGUAGGUGAGGUAAUGGCUCACUUAGGCGACGAUCCCUAGCUGGUUUGAGAGGACGACCAGCCACACUGGGACUGAGACACGGCCCAGACUCCUACGGAGGCAGCAGUGGGGAAUUUUGGGCAAUGGGGGAAACCCUGAUCCAGCCAUCCCGCGUGUAUGAUGAAGGCCUUCGGGUUGUAAAGUACUUUUGGCAGAGAAGCGGUAUCUGCAGAAGAAGCACCGGCUAACUACGUGCCAGCAGCCGCGGUAAUUC
rnacentral:rRNA from 1 species